rnacentral:piRNA from 1 species
UGAGGUUCAAGGGAUUAAAGAAUAUUAUUGU